CCGAAGAGGUUUUGGUGGCAGCUGCGGAGGGGACUGGAGCGACCGACAGGACUGACCCUCACUCCUUCCUGGCGGAGCAGCAGCCCGGAUCCCCCGCGGGGCUCAGGCCUGUGGGCUGAUGGGUUCCCUGAAAGGCAUUUACCUCCUUACUGAGGCAGAAUUCAAACUGUAUCACACUGGGGGAAGUGUCAACCAAGUCUGGACAGAGAGAAUUCUGGUCUGUGCUUAGAAUUGUUCCCACUUUUGUGGCAGGAAGCUCCGGAGUCUGCUCGUCCCCGCGGUUCCAGCCCCCGCUCCGAGGUUCCCGCUGCAGCCGCUGCCGCCACCCAGCGCGCCGCCAUUGCCGUGCGGAGAGGCGGCACAGCGCCCCCUGCAGCCGCGGGGGAAUCAGCGCAGCUGCCCCGCCCGGCCGGGAGCCACCGGCGCCCCUGGCGGCCGUGCCCGGAACUGCGCCAGAGGGGAAAGCACCUGAGAGAGGCUGGGGCUGUGCUUGGGGCUGUGCUUGGGGCUGGGGCUG